AGAUUGAACGCUGGCGGCAUGCCUAACACAUGCAAGUCGAACGGCAGCACAGCAGUAGCAAUACUGUGGGUGGCGAGUGGCGGACGGGUGAGUAAUGCAUCGGGACCUACCUGAACGUGGGGGAUAACGUAGGGAAACUUACGCUAAUACCGCAUACGUCCUACGGGAGAAAGCGGGGGACCUUCGGGCCUCGCGCGGUCAGACGGACCGAUGUUCGAUUAGCUAGUUGGUAAGGUAACGGCUUACCAAGGCGACGAUCGAUAGCUGGUCUGAGAGGAUGAUCAGCCACAUUGGGAUUGAGAACGGCCCAAAUCCCUACGGGGAGCAGCAGUGAGGAAUAUUCGGCAAUGGGCGCAAGCCUGACCGAGCGACGCCGCGUGGGGAUGACGCAUUUCGGUGUGUAAACCCCUUUUCGUGGGGGACGAGAAUGGACGGUACCCAGGAAUAAGUCUCGGCUAACUACGUGCCAGCAGCCGC
rnacentral:rRNA from 1 species